rnacentral:snoRNA from 1 species
UCAAAUGAUGAGAAACACCGAUUAGCUCUAGAUCAGGAGUCGUAUUUGCGGCGGUGACGGACAAAUCAUGUAUUAUCUGAUGA